GGAGGAAUAGGAAAAUCACCAAGGGAAAAGGUAAUAACAAGUGAAUCAACCAGAAGGCCCCAGGAUCCUCCUGUGGAUAAUGAAGCUGGAAUGAACAAUUGCCCUCAGGUGACACCAUACUGUGGCCAGGACCAGGAUGGAUUUAGAUGGCACAGACCCUGGAAGCCCCGAAUGGCCAGCUGGGCGACCUCACAACCUCACAGGUCUUACCAUAUGACACCAAGUCUUACAUGCUGAAAUUAAUCUCAAAACAUGCAUAAUGAACAAAAUAAAGCACAUUUUCACCUGUGCACCUGCAGAAGAUGAAGACGGCUUCUGAGCACACACCAUGCCCAGAGGAAAAGCAGAUCUCGGGGCUUAAAGAAGAAGGUGCUUGGCUUGGAACUGAACAAAUUAUCUCUGAACCCUGGAGGGCACAUGAAAAUCUGUCCUCUUGGGGGUUCAGCUAGCAUCUUGCUCAUUUUAAAAUGUGUGUAUGUUUUCGUUGAUGCCACAACUCGAUCUGGAUUUACUCUUCUGCGCUGGGCACGUGCGGUUGGGAAGGGCUUGGGCUGGAACCACAAGCAAUGAUUUGGGUCUCAUCUCCACUACGGCUGUGCUAUGGGGUCUUGGACAGGCCAUUUGUCUACGCUGCACCUCAGCUUUCUUAUAUGAAAAAACAUGUAUAGAUCAUGAAAGUGACCCCAACCUACAGUAACAUGAAGCUGUAGUAAUAAAUUAGGUAGGGAAUAAAGUUAACGAUUAAAUUAAAAUUA